AGUCGAACGAGCGAGAGAGAGUUUACUUUUUCGAGCGAGUGGCGAACGGGUGAGUAACGCGUGAGGAACCUGCCUCAAAGAGGGGGACAACAGUUGGAAACGACUGCUAAUACCGCAUAAGCCCACGGCUCGGCAUCGAGCAGAGGGAAAAGGAGCAAUCCGCUUUGAGAUGGCCUCGCGUCCGAUUAGCUAGUUGGUGAGGUAACGGCCCACCAAGGCAACGAUCGGUAGCCGGACUGAGAGGUUGAACGGCCACAUUGGGACUGAGACACGGCCCAGACUCCUACGGGAGGCAGCAGUGGGGAAUAUUGCACAAUGGGGGAAACCCUGAUGCAGCGACGCCGCGUGGAGGAAGAAGGUCUUCGGAUUGUAAACUCCUGUUGUUGAAGAAGAUAAUGACGGUACUCAACAAGGAAGUGACGGCUAACUACCUGCCAGCAGCCGCGGUAAAACGUAGGUCACAAGCGUUGUCCGGAAUUACUGGGUGUAAAGGGAGCGCAGGCGGGAAGACAAGUUGGAAGUGAAAUCCAUGGGCUCAACCCAUGAACUGCUUUCAAAACUGUUUUUCUUGAGUAGUGCAGAGGUAGGCGGAAUUCCCGGUGUAGCGGUGGAAUGCGUAGAUAUCGGGAGGAACACCAGUGGCGAAGGCGGCCUACUGGG
rnacentral:rRNA from 1 species